AUGAAAAUCAUUGGUUGGAACUGCCGGGGGUUCGGGAACGGCCCGGCAGUUUGCAGCCUCCUUGACUUGGGGAGGACGGAAGAGCUCGACAUAAUGUUCUUGGCGGAGACAAAAAUGACGAUGAAAGAGCUCGAGAAAUUCAGGUGGAUGAUAGGUCUUGUUCAUAUGACAGCAUGGAACCCAGAAGGAAGAAGUAGGGGUGUGGCAUUGUUCUGGCGAAGGGGUAUAGAUGUGGUGCUCAGAUCAUAUGGUAGGAGACAUAUAGAUGUGGAUGUGAAGGAGGAGGAUGGA
rnacentral:rRNA from 1 species